rnacentral:rRNA from 1 species
UACGGAGGAUGCAAGCGUUAUCCGGAAUGAUUGGGCGUAAAGGGUCCGCAGGCGGCAAUGUGUGUCUGCUGUCAAAGAAUGAGGCUUAACCUCAUCAAGGCAGUGGAAACUACAUAGCUAGAGUACGGUCGGGGUAGAAGGAAUUCCUGGUGUAGCGGUGAAAUGCGUAGAGAUCAGGAAGAACACCGGUGGCGAAAGCGUUCUGCUAGACCUGUACUGACACUGAGGGACGAAAGCUAGGGGAGCGAAUGGG